GCUGGUCUGAGGGGACGACCGGCCACAUUGGGACUGAGAUACGGCCCAGACUCCUACGGGAGGCAGCAGUGGGGAAUAUUGGACAAUGGAGGAAACUCUGAUCCAGCGACACCGCGUGGGGGAUGAAGGCUUUCGGGUCGUAAACCCCUUUUCUGGGGGAAGAAUAAGGUUGGGAGGAAAUGCCCAUCCGAUGACGGUACUCCAGGAAUAAGCAUCGGCAAACUCCGUGCCAGCAGCCGCGGUAAGACGGAGGAUGCAAGCGUUAUCCGGAAUUACUGGGCGUAAAGGACGUCUAGGCGGUUGGGUAAGUCACUUGUGAAAGCCCUCGGCUCAACCGAGGAAAGUCUCGUGAUACUGCCCAGCUUGGGUGUAGGAGAGGGAAGUGGAACUCACAGAGUAGCGGUGGAAUGCGUAGAUACUGUGAGGUACCCCGAUGGCGAAGGCAACUUCCUGGCCUACUACCGACGCUGAAGCGUGAAAGCGUGGGGAGCAAAGGGGAUUAGAUACCCCCGUAGUCCACGCCCCAAACGAUGUUCACUUGGUGUCGGCCGCAAAUGUAGGUCGGUGCCGGAGCUAACGCGUUAAGUGAACCGCCUGAGGAGUACGGCCGCAAGGCUAAAACUCAAGAGAAUUGACGGGUCCCCGCACAAGCGGUGGAGCACGUGGUUUAAUUCGAUGUAAGCGAAGAACCUCACCCAGGCUUGACAUACUAGUGGUAGGAACCUGAAAGGGGGACGACCCUACCUUCGGGUAGGGAGCUAGUACAGGUGAUGCAUGGCUGUCGUCAGCUCGUGUCGUGGGAUGUAGGGUUAAGUCCCGAAACGAGCGCAACCCUUGUCGUUAGUUGCCAGCGGGUAAUGCCGGGGACUCUAGCGAGACUGCUGGUGAAUAGCCGGAGGAAGGCGGGGAUGACGUCAAGUCAUCAUGUCCCUUACGCCUGGGGCGACACACAUGCUACAAUGGGUGGUACAGAGGGUCGCGAAGCCGUAAGGUGGAGCCAAUCUCACAAAACCAUCCUCAGUUCGGAUUGAGGUCUGCAACUCGACCUCAUGAAGCCGGAAUCGCUAGUAAUCGCGGGUCAGCCAUACCGCGGUGAAUAUGUACUCGGGGAUUGUACACACCGCCCGUCACACCAACCGAGUGGGGGGUACCUGAAGUCGUCUCUAGGAGGCGCCGAGGGUAACCUUCGCAAGAGGGGUGAAGUCGUAACAAGGUA
rnacentral:rRNA from 1 species